rnacentral:misc_RNA from 1 species
UCUCCGUAGGUGAACCUGCGGAGGGAUCAUUACCGAGCUCAUGCCCUUACGGUUAUAUCUUCCACCCUGUGUUAUUAUUACCUUUGUUGCUUUGGCGGGCCGCCAGGCUCCGGUCAGGCUAUCGGCUUCCGAUGGUAAGCGCCCGACAGAGGACCCUAUAUCCUGAUUAUUAGUGUCGUCUUAGUACUAUAUAGUAGUUAAAACUUUCAACAACGGAUCUCUUGGUUCUG